CAACUUUCAAGUUGUAGAAUCAUCUACAACUUAUCAUCGGCUGUUUUUUUGUGCAAGAGACAUACCAUUAAAUCUGAAAUCCAUCACAAUGCUAUCUUAAGAUGUCGAUGCAACAAAUUUAAUUUAUGUUAUGCAUUUAAUAUGCGGUAUCAUCCAUCAAUGUCAUUUACGUGGAGCUUUGUGUUCAGCCCUGAGCAAUGCUGCAAAGUUCCGAGUAGGCAGUUCAUUAGGGAAAAAUGUUUCAUUCAAAAACGUGGCUCAUGUGCAAAAUAACGUCCAGUAAUUGAAAGUUGUAUGCAAAGACUUUUGUGUCCGAUUCAUGCAACCAUACAAAAGUAAAUACCCCUCAAAAGUCAGUCAGUUUUGUUAUUAUUCUUGCCUCGUACAAGGUGGUGUAGGCUCUAUGUGACCAGCGAAGGGCAAAUCCAGCCAUCCCAAUUCAGCAUUCCCAAAGCAUACAUGUAUAAAUACAUAUGAGAUGCAUAAAUCCUCUAUAAAUGCAUAUAAAUGCUAUUUUAAACUUUAACAAGAGGGUAAACACUGAAAUGUGUUAUUCUCUUCUAUUUUUUUUACCCACUGCCCUGCCUCUGGCUGCAAUGUCAGAAUAUAACAUGCAGUAUAAUAUGUCGCCUUCAUUUACUCCCCUGCUACAGCAUUUGUGUGUGUGUGUGUGUGUGUAUUUCUAUGAUUUUCUCCACACAAUGAGAAAGAACUAAACAGUAGCAUUCAAAUGAUUCAAGUGAUUUAGUCUUUUUCUCUUUGUUUCUCUCUCUGUCUCAAUAUCUUCUUCCCUCUGUCGCACUCCCUGCUAUCAUAAAUCUUAUUAAAGCUCACUGAGAGGGCAGCGAUCAACAUGCUGUACAGAGCCUCCAACACACACACACACACACAAACACAUCUAGAUGAAAUUCCCACUUCUGUGUGCGUGUUUGGUUGUGUACUGCGGAAAAAAAAUUGCAGUGCGUAAAAUGGUGUCAGUGACAUGUUGCUGGCCCAUGCGUCAAUGUGUUGUAAUUGUAUCCAGUAGAGCAGAACACAUGCAUUCAACACACACACACACAUGCACACACACACACACACACACACACACACGCACACGCAAUCUGGUUGAUGUCAAGGCUUCCAGGCCAGGACGUCAAAUGGAAAGCAGUGAUGACAACAAAUGUAGGCAAAGAGCAACCCGCUGUUUGUGUGACCUUUCAAUAAAUCUACUUACACAGAAGGUAAACAAACUACCAACACUUUUACUUACAAUAUGAGAUUGUUGUUCAGUUCACCACAUUUUAAAACCAUGUGUAGGUGUGAGCUAGUGUUUGUCAUCAUGCGUUUGUGUUUCAGGGUCACACGGAGGGUGGGAUGUUCACAAUGGAUAGUUUCCAGCCCUCCCUGUGUACGAGCCCCCAAGGAACAGACGCACAACAAACUCAAAAUGCAAACUCAAGACACAGGAAGAGCGCACACAUGCUGGUAUUCCCAUGGCACAUACACAGACACUCAGAUAAAAGCUGAUACAAAGUGUAAAAUCAGAUCUUAGGGGUUCUGUAAUGUGUGUGUGUGUGUGUGUGUGUGUGUGUGUGUGUAUGGAGUGCAUGUGUGUUCAUGCACACAUCCUGAAGUUCAACUGCAAUCUGUAAACAAUGUUUCUGGCUGAAUGAAGAAAAACAAGAAGCACAGGGUGAAAUGUUCAGGAGCGAGUAAGAGCGUGUGUGUGUUUGUGUGUGUGCGUGUGUGUGUCUGACAGAACAAGAGAGAGAGAAAGUGAGCAGUGAACUGCAGAUGUCUGGCUCUCACAGCAAACACAGCUUCUGCAGGAAACUAAGACAUACAGUAUCUGUGCGAACGGUGCAGAUAUUGUCAGCUCCUGAGCAAAAAGCCUCCUUUAACUUGCACUUCUUAAUAAGGGAAACGCUGAUUGCGAUGCAGGACUCCGCUAAUAGCAGGAUAUCACUGCGCAAUAUUGCUCCAGAACACAUCGACGUGCCGAGCCACUUAUUCUCCUCUAAUUAACAACCUGACAAUGAAAUUCGUCGCAUUGGUUACACUUACCAAUGUGGUUAUUUUCUGACACUGCCACCCAACAAUUAAAUUAGCGCCUGCCCAUCACAGCUUAAAGUGGAGCGUUGACUGCGUCCCGAUUUAAAAUAACUUGCUGCUGUGUUAAUGAGACCGAGCGAGCAGCGCGGCCUUUCACUGCCGCUGAAUAGCCACGUUUGCCGUCAACAUGCGACCAACACGGAGAGCUCAUUUAAAGUGACAUUAGCCAAUUCUGCAUGCUAAUUACUUUCAAAAUAUGACAUGGAGCUGAGGAAGGGUGGGCUUUCAGCAUCCCUCUGCACUGCCACGCUGAGUGAUAAGGGCUUCGAUAAGCUGCUUGAAACUAUUAAUUAGCUGCAAUGGAUUCUUACAGUCAAUGGGGUUUUGUUUAUCCUGCUAAUGUCACUCCUUCGAUUUCAUUUUGGAGACUGAGCAGAAUGGAAAUGUGUUUUGUUUGUUCUUUUCCUGCCUGAUUUUUAAAUCUCCUGCUUCAUCGUAAAGAAUGGGGAAAAUAAUAAGCAAAUUCAAGCAUGCAUAGUUUGGAUGAAUUGUAACGCGUGACUUCUGGAGCAAAACAAAGAAAGCUGCCACAACUGUGUUCAGUUGUAUUGCUACAUGAGCCAAAGAGUGCAUUUAAAAAAGAAUAAACAAAACACUGGAUGAACAUAUGGCAUAUUAUUUAAUACUUUCCUUUACUAUUUAUUUUCCAACAAUCAGAGCAGCCAUCAGAGAUCGAAACCUCUAAAUCAGACAUGACUUUCAGGGAUGCUUGCUGACAAGCUUUCAGAUCACAGCCAAAGAUAGCUCAGUGUGAUGUACAUCCACAUCAAAGAACUGCUGAUCCUCACAAGGUCCAAGGUCCCUGACUAACCUGCAUCAACAAUCGGUGAGGUUUGCUCCAACAGCUGGGGGACAUAUCAAAGAACGCCCGCAUCACUAACUGUGUCAACAAUUACUCCGUGUCAUAGGAAAUCAAAAGAAAAUAGCGCCGCGCUUUGCCGCUUCAGCCCACUCAUCUCUCGCCUCUCUGGCUAAUAUUUUUGUUUUUCUCUCUUUGGACGGCUGCUUCUAGCCCAUCUUGGUCGAUCGAUACUGGGAAGCCGAGUCUACCCCCCUCCCCCAUACUAUUACCUCUUUCCUCCCUUCCACCUGCUCUCCACAUCCUUUCAUCUCAACCUCCCACACAUUUCAGGUCACCGGGGAGGCAAUCGUCUUAAGUGUUCCAGCUGACAAUGUGAGCUGAUGAGAAACCUUCCUGUGAGUGUUGGCUGGCUAAGCAUGAUGUAACCCGGCAGGACAAAAACAGUGAAUGAGGAAAACAGAGCGAGCGCUCCAAAUUUACACACACAUCCACACACACACCUCGCUCCAGACGCCAUCUUUCACAAGUUUAACUACAGCUAGGAGAGCAGCCUGCAAGUGUUCGUAGACGAGUCCACCAUUCUCAUUAAAACUACAGGCGACUGGAGAAAUACGCUGGCUAUCAAAGAAAUCACAAGGUUUUCAUCAUCAACCUCCAGCAACCACUUACAACCAGCUGAGGAAUGAGCUGGCUCUAAGCCUGUGUGCCUGGGACCUCAUUCACAUGACCCUACAUUGUCACCAUCAUUGUCACACAACUAAAAAAGCUGACUAGACAGAUGUGACCAUUAGUUAUUUUAUAUAUCCCACUGCUCGCAGUUCAAAUAAUGAAAUAAUCAUAAAGAAAUAAUAUUAGUAAUAUUACUAAAAUGAAUAGUAUUAUGUAUAACAGAUAUAUACAUAGGUUAUGAUUCUCAUAUAGCUAUAUAUUUAUAGAACAGAUGGAUGAAACCUUCAGACUUGAAAGUGAGCCCACCUUAAGCUUGCACUUUUCUAGCUGACAGCAAUGGUUAAAGUCUGCGACUGCAAGAACAAGGUUAAUGUAUAGGUGUAUAUAUGUCUAAAGAAAAACCAUGACCUUUCUGGAGAGCUUCUAGUCCCAGUCACUACUUUCUAGUCCUUUUCAGUAAUGAUGUGUUUAUUUUGUGUAAUAUGAAUUAGAGCACUAUAGAUUGGGGUAUGCUUUAGUGUGAUGACAAGCCAUUACCCUGUCGUCAUGCAAUGUCAUUGGGUUCUCUGUCACAUUCACCCCUUGGUGGAUGUGUUCAGAAGCCAAAACAAGAAUACACUGUGAACAACAGUCAUACUUUGCUAAAAUAUCUAGCUGUUCAGUGUGAAACUGAUGCAAUCUAUGGUCAUGUGACAUGUUGGCAAAAUCGUGCUGACUGCAUCCAUCUGUAAAUAUAA